GAUGAAGAACGCAGCGAAAUGCGAUAAGUAAUGCGAAUUGCAGAAUUCAGUGAAUCAUCGAAUCUUUGAACGCACAUUGCGCCCGCCAGUAUUCUGGCGGGCAUGCCUGUCUGAGCGUCGUUUCGACCCUCGCGCCCGGCUUCUGUCGGGGGCGGUGUUGGGGAACGGCCACACCCUUCAGUGGGAGGCCGGCCCCUAAAUUCAGUGGCGACCACGCUGUAGCCUCCCCUGCGUAGUACUAAAACCACCUCGCAGGCGGAGAGCGGUGCGGCCCGCCGUAAAACCCCCCAACUUUUACAAGGUCGACCUCAGAUCAGGUAGGAAUACCCGCUGAACUUAAGCAUAUCAAUAAGCGGAGGA
rnacentral:misc_RNA from 1 species